rnacentral:misc_RNA from 1 species
UUAACUAUUAAAAUAUAGUACUCAGACGACACGUAUAAAACAGAGUUUGGGUUUCCUCCGGCAGGCGACUCCCAGGCCCGAAGGCGCUGGGGCUGUCCCCCGAGGGGGGCAGCAGCCUGCCAAAGCAACAUGGUAUAAAUACACAAGGGUGGGAGGUCUACCCGCGAGGGCGUGAACUCUGUAAUGAUCCUUCCGCAGGUUCACCUACGGAAA